rnacentral:rRNA from 1 species
AGUGAACGCUGGCGGUAGGCCUAACACAUGCAAGUCGAACGGCAGCACAGUAAGAGCUUGCUCUUACGGGUGGCGAGUGGCGGACGGGUGAGGAAUACAUCGGAAUCUACUUUUUCGUGGGGGAUAACGUAGGGAAACUUACGCUAAUACCGCAUACGACCUACGGGUGAAAGCAGGGGAUCUUCGGACCUUGCGCGAUUGAAUGAGCCGAUGUCGGAUUAGCUAGUUGGCGGGGUAAAGGCCCACCAAGGCGACGAUCCGUAGCUGGUCUGAGAGGAUGAUCAGCCACACUGGACCUGAGACACGGUCCAGACUCCUACGGGAGGCAGCAGUGGGGAAUAUUGGACAAUGGGCGCAAGCCUGAUCCAGCCAUACCGCGUGGAUGAAGAAGGCCUUCGGGUUGUAAAGCCCUUUUGUUGGGAAAGAAAAGCAGCAGGUUAAUACCCCGCUGUUCUGACGGUACCCAAAGAAUAAGCACCGGCUAACUUCGUG